rnacentral:rRNA from 1 species
GAGGGGCGGAUGGGUGAGUAAUGCUUAGGAAUCUGCCCAGUAGUGGGGGACAACAGUCGGAAACGGCUGCUAAUACCGCAUACGCCCUACGGGGGAAAGCAGGGGAUCUUCGGACCUUGCGCUAUUGGAUGAGCCUAAGUCGGAUUAGCUAGUUGGUGAGGUAAAGGCUCACCAAGGCCACGAUCCGUAGCUGGUUUGAGAGGAUGAUCAGCCACAUCGGGACUGAGACACGGCCCGAACUCCUACGGGAGGCAGCAGUGGGGAAUAUUGGACAAUGGGGGCAACCCUGAUCCAGCCAUGCCGCGUGUGUGAAGAAGGCUUUCGGGUUGUAAAGCACUUUCAGCGAGGAGGAAGGCUCUAAAGCUAAUACCUUUAGGGAUUGACGUUACUCGCAGAAGAAGCACCGGCUAACUCCGUGCCAGCAGCCGCGGUAAUACGGAGGGUGCAAGCGUUAAUCGGAAUUACUGGGCGUAAAGCGCGCGUAGGUGGUUGAGUAAGCGAGAUGUGAAAGCCCCGGGCUUA